rnacentral:rRNA from 1 species
AUUGAACGCUGGCGGCAUGCUUUACACAUGCAAGUCGAACGGUAACAGGCCUUCGGGUGCUGACGAGUGGCGAACGGGUGAGUAAUGCAUCGGAACGUACCCAGAGGUGGGGGAUAACGCAGCGAAAGCUGUGCUAAUACCGCAUGUGAUCUGAGGAUGAAAGCGGGGGACCGAGCAGCAAUGUUUGGCCUCGCGCCUUUGGAGCGGCCGAUGUCGGAUUAGCUAGUUGGUGGGGUAAAGGCCUACCAAGGCGACGAUCCGUAGCUGGUCUGAGAGGACGACUAGGUAGCUGGGGAGUGAGAAACGUCCGACACUCCGACGGGGAGCAGCGGUGGGGAAUUUUGGACGAGGGAGGCAAGGCGGAUCCAGCAAUGCCGGGGGAGGGAAGAAGGCGUUAGGGUGGGAAACCGAUUUUGGCAGGAGCGAAACGGUGUCCUCUAAUACCGGGCGCUAAUGACGGUACCUGCAGAAUAAGCACCGGCUAACUACGUG